rnacentral:rRNA from 1 species
CCUACGGGGGGCAGCAGUGGGGAAUAUUGCGCAAUGGGCGAAAGCCUGACGCAGCGACGCCGCGUGAAGGAUGAAGGUCUUCGGAGCGUAAACCUCUUUUAGCAGGGAAGAACGGUCACUGUGCUAAUCAUCAGUGAAUUGACGGUACCUGCAAAGGAAGCAUCGGCGAAAUCCGUGCCAGCCGCCGAGGUAAUACGGAGGGUUCGUGCGUUAAUCGGAAUUACUGGGGUUAAAGCGGUCGUAGGGGGUAUGUCAAGUCAAGAGUGAAAUCCCCUGGCUCAACGUUGGAAGUGCCUAUGAUGCUGGCAAACUAGAGUGUGUGAGAGGAUAGUGGAAUUCGAGGU